rnacentral:rRNA from 1 species
CUCGGGCUAUCGGAGGUACUCGGUUGCCAUUACUGAUAGUAAUGGCGAAUGAACAGGGAAAAGUUCAAUAUCGAAUCGCGUCGGGCGACCGAUUGCGAAUUGUGGUGUUUGGUCAGCCAUUGCAAGCGCCAGCUUGUCAUAGCAAGUCCGAUUGAAUACGGCCUUUCCAGAGAGGGUGAAAGACCCGUAGCAUUGGCAUGCGAACGCUUAUAGGCUGGCCGACGAGUCGAAUUGUUUGAGAUUGCAAUUCAAAGAUAUGUGGUAAACUCCAUAUAAAACUAGAUAUGACGGCGGCACCGAUAGCGAAGAAGUACCGUGAGGGAAAGUUGAAAAGUACUUUGAAAAGAGAGUUAAAUAGGACGUGAAACUGCACAUUGAAAAGCAAAUGAGCACGCAUCAGGUUCAUUGUGAGAUUCAGGUGGACAUAUCAGGGAAAGCUGUCUUCGUUGAGGGCAGACUUUUUCUGAGUGUGUACCGCAUUUCGAACAGUGACGCACUGCUUGGCUUCGAAACAGCUGCAGCCACGAUCAAGUGCAUAUCUUCGGACGUGUGUGGUCGCGGUAAGUAAAAUGUGAGCAAUCAUAUUUUGCGGUCAGUUGUAACGGAGUCUCCAUCGGUGGUCCAGAAAGCUCCGAUUGUUGUACGAUUGUGAGGAUGUGCUACUAAUUGUACACGUACUUAUAAUAACGGCAUGUUUCGUCUUUUUGGACUGAGAAAGCAGGCUUCUUUCAGUGCGCAUCAUUUGACGUCUGAACACGGGCUAGAGUUCAACGGUGCGCGGGAGUUUCCUGCCAUAUGAACCAGUUUGGCGGCAGCCUAUACCGCCGAUAUAUUUGUGUG